rnacentral:rRNA from 1 species
AGUCGAACGUGAAAGCACUUCGGUGUGAGUAGAGUGGCGGACGGGUGAGUAACGCGUGGGAAUCUGCCCAGUAGUGGGGGACAACUACCGGAAACGGUAGCUAAUACCGCAUACGCCCUAUGGGGGAAAGGCUUCGGCCGCUAUUGGAUGAGCCCGCGUCAGAUUAGCUAGUUGGUAGGGUAAAGGCCUACCAAGGCAACGAUCUGUAGCUGGUCUGAGAGGACGAACAGCCACACUGGGACUGAGACACGGCCCAGACUCCUACGGGAGGCAGCAGUGGGGAAUAUUGGACAAUGGGCGAAAGCCUGAUCCAGCAAUGCCGCGUGUGUGAAGAAGGCCUGCGGGUUGUAAAGCACUUUCAGUUGGGAAGAUGAUGACGUUACCAACAGAAGAAGCACCGGCUAAAUCCGUGCCAGCAGCCGCGGUAAUACGGAUGGUGCGAGCGUUAAUCGGAAUUACUGGGCGUAAAGCGCGCGUAGGCGGCUGAGUCAGUCAGAAGUGAAAGCCCCGGGCUCAACCUGGGAAUUGCUUUUGAUACUGCUUGGCUAGAGUUUGGUAGAGGAUAGUGGAAUUCCAGGUGUAGCGGUGAAAUGCGUAGAUAUCUGGAGGAACAUCAGUGGCGAAGGCGACUGUCUGGACCAAAACUGACGCUGAGGUGCGAAAGCGUGGGUAGCAAACAGGAUUAGAUACCCUGGUAGAAGGGC